rnacentral:tRNA from 4 species
GCGCCCGUAGCUCAGCUGGAUAGAGCAACGGACUUCUAAUCCGUAGGUCGCAGGUUCGAAUCCUGCCGGGCGUACCA